rnacentral:rRNA from 1 species
GACGAACGCUGGCGGCGUGCCUAACACAUGCAAGUCGAACGGCAGCACAGGAGAGCUUGCUCUCUGGGUGGCGAGUGGCGGACGGGUGAGGAAUACAUCGGAAUCUACCUUUUCGUGGGGGAUAACGUAGGGAAACUUACGCUAAUACCGCAUACGACCUUAGGGUGAAAGCGGAGGACCUUCGGGCUUCGCGCGGAUAGAUGAGCCGAUGUCGGAUUAGCUAGUUGGCGGGGUAAAGGCCCACCAAGGCGACGAUCCGUAGCUGGUCUGAGAGGAUGAUCAGCCACACUGGAACUGAGACACGGUCCAGACUCCUACGGGAGGCAGCAGUGGGGAAUAUUGGACAAUGGGCGCAAGCCUGAUCCAGCCAUGCCGCGUGGGUGAAGAAGGCCUUCGGGUUGUAAAGCCCUUUUGUUGGGAAAGAAAAGCAGCCGGUUAAUACCCGGUUGUUCUGACGGUACCCAAAGAAUAAGCACCGGCUAACUUCGUGCCAGCCGCCGCUGUAA